GAAACCGGAGCUAAUACCGGAUAAUAUAUUGAACCGCAUGGUUCAAUAGUGAAAGACGGUUUUGCUGUCACUUAUAGAUGGAUCCGCGCCGCAUUAGCUAGUUGGUAAGGUAACGGCUUACCAAGGCACGAUGCGUAGCCGACCUGAGAGGGUGAUCGGCCACACUGGAACUGAGACACGGUCCAG
rnacentral:rRNA from 1 species